rnacentral:rRNA from 1 species
CAGGCCUAAUACAUGCAAGUCGAACGCCCCGCAAGGGGAGUGGCGCACGGGUGUUUGCACCUGGUGGCGAGUGGCGAACGGGUGAGUAAUAUAUCGGAACGUACCUUAUUGUGGGGGAUAACGCAGCGAAAGCUGUGCUAAUACCGCAUAAUCCCUAAGGGGGAAAGCGGGGGACCGUAAGGCCUCGCGCAAUUAGAGCGGCCGAUACCUGAUUAGCUAGUUGGUGAGGUAAAGGCUCACCAAGCCAACGAUCAGUUGCUGGUCUGAGCGGACGAUCAGCCACACGGGGACUGAGACACGGCCCAGUCUCCUAAGGGAGGCAGCAGUGGGGAAUCUUGGACAAGGGGGUCAAGCCUGGUCCAGCAAUGCCGCGUGAGUGAAGAAGGCCUUCGGGUUGGAAAGCUCUUUUGUCAGAGAAGAAACAGCAGCUCUAACACAGUAUGCGAAUGACGGUACCUGAAGAAUAAGCACCGGCUAACUACGUGCCAGCAGCCGCAGUAA